rnacentral:rRNA from 1 species
AACGAACGCUGGCGGUAUGCUUUACACAUGCAAGUCGAACGGGUAAGAGCCGUAGCAAUGCGGAAUUCUGCUAGUGGCAAACGGGUGAGUAACGCGUGGGAACCUACCUUAUAGUACGGAAUAGCCCCGGGAAACUGGGAUGAAUACCGUAUACGCUCCUCGGAGGAAAGAUUUAUCGCUAUAAGAUGGGCCCGCGUUAGAUUAGCUAGUUGGUGAGGGAAUGGCUCACCAAGGCGACGAUCUAUAGCUGGUUUGAGAGGAUGAUCAGCCACACUGGAACUGAGACACGGUCCAGACUUCUACGGGAGGCAGCAGUGGGGAAUAUUGGACGAUGGGCGAAAGCCUGAUCCAGCAAUACCGCGUGAGUGAUGAAGGCCUUAGGGUUGUAAAACUCUUUCAGUAGGGAAGAUAAUGACGGUACCUACAGAAGAAGCACCGGCUAACUCCGUGCCAGCCGCCGCAGUAA